UUAAGUUCAGCGGGUAGUCCUACCUGAUUUGAGGUCAGAUUUCAAAGUUUUGCUUGACCGCCGCUCCAGAGGCAGGUCGUGGGAGGGCGCGGAAGGGGAACUUCUCGGUGAGAGCGAGGAUGGUACAACGCCCAGUCGAGUUCGACCCACAGGCCCAACCGAUGCAUUUGAGGGGAGCAGCCUCGCGGCAGCAGGCCCCC
rnacentral:misc_RNA from 1 species